ACAACCUGGCAAACUCUGUGCCUUCUCACCCUUUCCUGGCCCCUUAGGAGUGCCUGGAAGCUGCCAGCCAGCAAAACCAGCCCCUACAGGCCCAGUUGAGCCUCAUGGCUCUCCCUGGGGAAGGAGAUGGAGGAGGACAUCUGGACAGUGAGGAGGAGGAGGCACCUCGGCCCAUGCCGAGCAACCCGGAGGACCUGGAGAGCUGGGAGGCCACGGUGAGUCUGACUCCCCCUGCACCCAUUUUGCCACCUUCCUCUGUGGUCCCUCCAAGACCCCUUUAUGCUCUUGGUUUCCCUGCCUUCUGAUUUCUCUGGACCCUCACCCCUUCCGGGAGCCAGUGGUCAGACACCAUUUCACCUGUGACCAACAGAUGCACUCUCUGAGACCCCAAGGGAAGGGGCUGCACUCCACCUCUCUGCCCUGUUUGUUCUGUGUAUGCCUCUACAAUAAUGCUCACCUCUUGCCCUCAGGUUGCAUUUUUCAACUCCGCUGGAGCCAAUGCCCAGGAGGAGCAGGCAUGGUUACAAGAGCAGGUGAAAGAGCAGAGGGUGUGCUGCCAGCGCAUGGCUCACCUGGUGGCCUCAGUCCAGAAGGAGCCAGAGGCAGCGGUCCCAGCCCCAGUGACUGGGGGCGACUCUGUGAGUGGGGAGACCCACCAGGCU
rnacentral:lncRNA from 1 species